AUCCUGGCUCAGGAUGAACGCUAGCGGCAGGCUUAACACAUGCAAGUCGAGGGGCAGCAUGAGGGUUAGCAAUAACCCUUGAUGGCGACCGGCGCAAGGGUGCGUAACGCGUGAGCAACUUGCCCGUUUCAGGGGGAUAACCGGUGGAAACGCCGACUAAUACCCCAUGGCAUCAUAUUAAGGCAUCUUUAUAUGAUUAAAGAAUUUCGGAAACGGAUAGGCUCGCGUGACAUUAGCUAGAUGGCGGGGUAACGGCCCACCAUGGCGACGAUGUCUAGGGGUUCUGAGAGGAAGGUCCCCCACACUGGAACUGAGACACGGUCCAGACUCCUACGGGAGGCAGCAGUGAGGAAUAUUGGUCAAUGGUCUGACGACUGAACCAGCCAUGCCGCGUGAAGGUGACGGCCCUAUGGGUCUUAAACUUCUUUUGUAAGGGAGCAAUAAGGUGUACGUGUACAUCGAUGAGAGUACCUUACGAAUAAGCAUCGGCUAACUCCGUG
rnacentral:rRNA from 1 species